GACGAACGCUGGCGGCGUGCUUAACACAUGCAAGUCGAACGAUGAAGCCGGAGCUUGCUCUGGUGAAUUAGUGGCGAACGGGUGAGUAACACGUGAGUAACCUGCCCUUGACUCUGGGAUAACUGCUAGAAAUGGUAGCUAAUACCGGAUACGACCCUCGGAGGCAUCUCCAGGGGGUGGAAAGAAUUUCGGUCAAGGAUGGACUCGCGGCCUAUCAGCUAGUUGGUGAGGUAAAGGCUCACCAAGGCGACGACGGGUAGCCGGCCGGAGAGGGUGACCGGCCACACUGGGACUGAGACACGGCCCAGACUCCUACGGGAGGCAGCAGUGGGGAAUAUUGCACAAUGGGCGCAAGCCUGAUGCAGCAACGCCGCGUGAGGGAUGACGGCCUUCGGGUUGUAAACCUCUUUUAGUAGGGAAGAAGCGAAAGUGACGGUACCUGCAGAAAAAGCACCGGCUAACUACGUGCCAGCCGCCGCGGUAA
rnacentral:rRNA from 1 species